AUUGAACGCUGGCGGCGUGCCUAACACAUGCAAGUCGAGCGGUAACAGGUGUAGCAAUACAUGCUGACGAGCGGCGAACGGGUGAGUAAUGCUUCGGAAUCUACCCUCUGGUGGGGAAUAACCAGCCGAAAGGUUGGCUAAUACCGCAUACGUCCUACGGGAGAAAGCAGGGGAUCGCAAGACCUUGCGCCGAUGGAUGAGCCGAAGUCGGAUUAGCUAGNGGUGAGGUAACGGCUCACCAAGGCGACGAUCCGUAGCUGGUCUGAGAGGACGACCAGCCACACUGGGACUGAGACACGGCCCAGACUCCUACGGGAGGCAGCAGUGGGGAAUAUUGGACAAUGGGGGCAACCCUGAUCCAGCGACGCCGCGUGUGUGAAGAAGGCCUGCGGGUUGUAAAGCAC
rnacentral:rRNA from 1 species